rnacentral:rRNA from 1 species
UACAGAGGGGCCAAGCGUUGUCCGGAUUUACUGGGCGUAAAGCGCACGCAGGCGGAGCGGCGCGUGGGGUGUGAAAGCUGGUGGCUUAACUGCCAGUCGCCAUCCCAUACGGCCGCUCUGGAGCCUUGCAGAGGGCAGUGGAAUUGCCGGUGUAGUGGUGAAAUGCGUAGAUAUUGGAAAGACCACCAAUGGCGAAGGCACUCUACUGGGCCAUUACUGACACUGAGAGACGAAAGCUAGGGGAGCAAAUGGG